GAGAUAAUACCUGAUAGAGGAUAAAUACUGGAAGGUUUUAUUCUUCAAAGCUUCGGCACCUGAGGAUGGGACUGCGUCGGAUUAGCUUGUUGUCGGGAUAAUUACCCGACAAGGCGAUAAUCCGUACGGGUUGUGAGAGCAAUAGCCCGGAGAUGGAUUCUGAGACAUGAAUCCAGGUCCUACGGGACGCAGCAGGCGCGAAACCUUCACAAUGCCUGAAAGGGUGAUGAGGGAACUCUGAGUGACUUCGCAAUGCGAAGUCUUUUGCCAAGUGCAAAAAGCUCGGUGAAUAAGUGGUGGGCAAGACAGUUGCCAGCCGCCGCGGUAAUAACUGCGCCACGAGUGGUGAUCUCGUUUAUUGGGCUUAAAGCGUUCGUAGCCGGUUUUAUAAGCAUCUGGUGAAAUCCGAUAGUAAACUAUUGGGCUGGCUAGGUGUACUGUAAGACUAGGGACCGGUAGGGGCCGGGAGUACUCCUAGGGUAGGGGUUAAAUCCUUUAAUCCUAGGGGGACUACCAGUGGCGAAGGCGCCCGGCUAGAACGGGUCCGACGGUGAGGGACGAAAGCUGGGGGAGCGAUCCGGAUUAGAUACCCGGGUAGUCCCAGCUGUAAACGAUGCCCGCUUGGUGUGGUGAAACUUUCGUGGU
rnacentral:rRNA from 1 species